GGAAGAACGUCGUCUCCGGUGAGGCGUCCGGAUUUCAAAUCCGGGUAGGGCUGCCAGCAGUCCUGGGUAGGUUCGACUCCUAUGUUCUUCC
rnacentral:tRNA from 16 species